GUCGAGCGAGCGGAACUAACAGCUUUACUUCGGUAAUGACGUUAGGAAAGCGAGCGGCGGAUGGGUGAGUAACACGUGGGGAACCUGCCCCAUAGUCUGGGAUACCACUUGGAAACAGGUGCUAAUACCGGAUAAGAAAGCAGAUCGCAUGAUCAGCUUUUAAAAGGCGGCGUAAGCUGUCGCUAUGGGAUGGCCCCGCGGUGCAUUAGCUAGUUGGUAAGGUAAAGGCUUACCAAGGCGAUGAUGCAUAGCCGAGUUGAGAGACUGAUCGGCCACAUUGGGACUGAGACACGGCCCAAACUCCUACGGGAGGCAGCAGUAGGGAAUCUUCCACAAUGGACGCAAGUCUGAUGGAGCAACGCCGCGUGAGUGAAGAAGGUUUUCGGAUCGUAAAGCUCUGUUGUUGGUGAAGAAGGAUAGAGGUAGUAACUGGCCUUUAUUUGACGGUAAUCAACCAGAAAGUCACGGCUAACUACGUGCCAGCAGCCGCGGUAAUACGUAGGUGGCAAGCGUUGUCCGGAUUUAUUGGGCGUAAAGCGAGCGCAGGCGGAAGAAUAAGUCUGAUGUGAAAGCCCUCGGCUUAACCGAGGAACUGCAUCGGAAACUGUUUUUCUUGAGUGCAGAAGAGGAGAGUGGAACUCCAUGUGUAGCGGUGGAAUGCGUAGAUAUAUGGAAGAACA
rnacentral:rRNA from 1 species